rnacentral:rRNA from 1 species
GCCUACGGGAGGCAGCAGUGAGGAAUAUUGGUCAAUGGGAGAGAUCCUGAACCAGCCAAGUCGCGUGAGGGAAGACGGUCCUAUGGAUUGUAAACCUCUUUUGUCGGGGAGCAAAGAGAUCACGUGUGGUCAAAAGCGAGAGUACCCGAAGAAAAAGCAUCGGCUAACUCCGUGCCAGCAGCCGCGGUAAUACGGAGGAUGCGAGCGUUAUCCGGAUUUAUUGGGUAUAAAGGGUGCGUAGGCGGGACGGUAAGUCAGCGGUAAAAAUGCGGAGCUCAACUCCGUCGAGCCGUUGAAACUGCCGU